AUUGAACGCUGGCGGCAGGCCUAACACAUGCAAGUCGAGCGCGAAAGUCUUCGGAUGAGUAAAGCGGCGGACGGGUGAGUAAUGCAUGGGAAUCUGCCUGGUAGUGGGGGACAACGUUUCGAAAGAGACGCUAAUACCGCAUACGCCCUACGGGGGAAAGGGGGGGGUCUUCGGACCUCUCGCUAUCAGAUGAGCCCAUGUCAGAUUAGCUAGUUGGUAGGGUAAAGGCCUACCAAGGCGACGAUCUGUAACUGGUCUGAGAGGAUGAUCAGUCACACUGGAACUGAGACACGGUCCAGACUCCUACGGGAGGCAGCAGUGGGGAAUAUUGGACAAUGGGGGCAACCCUGAUCCAGCCAUGCCGCGUGUGUGAAGAAGGCCCUAGGGUUGUAAAGCACUUUCAGUGGGGAGAAAGAUAAUUCACCUAAUACGUGAGUUAAUUGAUGCUACCCACAGAAGAAGCACCGGCUAACUCCGUGCCAGCAGCCGCGGUAACAC
rnacentral:rRNA from 1 species